rnacentral:rRNA from 1 species
AUUGAACGCUGGCGGCAGGCCUAACACAUGCAAGUCGAACGAGUGGCGGACGGGUGAGUAAUGUCUGGGAAACUGCCUGAUGGAGGGGGAUAACUACUGGAAACGGUAGCUAAUACCGCAUACCAUCAGAUGCGCCCAGAUGGGAACAGCUUGUUGGUGGGGUAACGGCUCACCAAGGCGACGAUCCCUAGCUGGUCUGAGAGGAUGACCAGCCACACUGGAACUGAGACACGGUCCAGACUCCUACGGAGGGCAGCGUGGGGGAAUAUUGCACAAUGGGCGAAAGCCUGAUGCAGCAAUGCCGCGUGUAUGAAGAAGGCCUUCGGGUUGUAAAGUACUUUCAGCGGGGAGGCGUUACCCACAGAAGAAGCACCAGCUAACUCCGUGCAAGCAGCCGCGGUAAUAC